UACAGGGGGCAAGCGUUGUUCGGAAUUACUGGGCGUAAAGGGCGCGUAGGCGGCCUUCUAAGUCGAACGUGAAAUCCCCGGGCUCAACCCGGGAACUGCGUCCGAUACUGGAAGGCUUGAAUCCGGGAGAGGUGAGUGGAACUGCGAGUGUAGAGGUGAAAUUCGUAGAUAUUCGCAAGAACACCAGUGGCGAAGGCGGCUCACUGGCCCGGUACUGACGCUGAGGUGCGAAAGCGUGGGGAGCAAACAGG
rnacentral:rRNA from 1 species